GGGUGCGUGAGUGCGCACCCACCACAACACAAGGGAUCACCCGGGUCUCCCUGCCUGGGUGGUCCUUCU
rfam:Fibrobacter succinogenes subsp. succinogenes S85, complete genome.